AGUAGCCUACGGGGGGCAGCAGUGAGGAAUAUUGGUCAAUGGCCGAGAGGCUGAACCAGCCAAGUCGCGUGAGGGAUGACGGUCCUAUGGAUUGUAAACCUCUUUAGGCGGGGAGCAAUGCCGGGCACGCGUGCCCGGAGGGAGAGUACCCGCAGAAUAAGCAUCGGCUAACUCCGUGCCAGCAGCCGCGGUAAUACGGAGGAUGCGAGCGUUAUCCGGAUUUAUUGGGUUUAAAGGGUGCGUAGGCGGAUUUUUAAGUCAGCGGUAAAAUGUCCGGGCUCAACCCGGGCCGGCCGUUGCACCUG
rnacentral:rRNA from 1 species